UGCGUAGGUGGUCGGGUAAGUCUGAUGUGAAAUCUCCGAGCUUAACUCGGAAACUGCAUCGGAUACUAUUCGGCUGGAGGGUUGGAGGGGGGACUGGAAUACUUGGUGUAGCAGUGAAAUGCGUAGAUAUCAAGUGGAACACCAGUGGCGAAGGCGAGUCCCUGGACAACUCCUGACACUGAGGCACGAAAGCUAGGGAGCAAACA
rnacentral:rRNA from 1 species